rnacentral:misc_RNA from 1 species
CCAUUAUAAAAAAAAUUUUAUAAAUUUCGCAUGCUUCAACGAUAAUUGGCAAGUAAAAAAAAAAAAAAUACAAAAAUCAAAAGAAUACAUAUGGUCACCUCACCCACUCAUCAACACAUUCGGGCGCGCGACACUCAAAUCUCUAAACAUUUUCGUUUGUGAAGUGCCUUCAUUGGAGUUGUCAUAGACUGUCGUGCAGGGGCAUCACCACCAACUCCACCAUCACCACUACCAAUACCAACACCACCACCACUACUAUCACUACAGCCACAGCUACAACCACUAAUGCGCUUACAAUCACUUAUUAUACAUAGGUUGCAGGACAUCCUCAUCGACGUAAUUGUAACACAUGUGUGGCAACGCAUAUUCUAAAUUGAUCGAAUUAAAUAAUAAUAAGCAAAUUGAAAGUCUUAUGCGGUUUUGGCAUCAUCGAUUUGCCACAUACAUAGUUUGUUUGUGCAUAAAGUCCACAAGUUAAUUUUGAAGGCAGGAUUUGACAAGGGUAUAAAUCAUAAAUUCACAAGUUGCUCAUUGCACUCAGCGCCCACCACAAUGAGUUUGUGGAAGCGUAUCGCAUGCUUUCCAGAGCUCGAAAAACGCAUGACUCAGUACUAUGAUGGGAAGGGCCUCGCCGAGAUACGCGUGCAAUUCGCAGCAUGGAUUGAAGAUACUUUAAUGAGCCAACAACAACCGCCGGCUAGCGAUAAAAUUUUCGAACAAUUAGUUAACUCAUUCUACGAGGGCCUCAAGCAGAAGCUCAUUACUUUAGAUGGUGAUAAUUUGUUUAAAUUUAAGAUACGGGAAAUUUGCACACAUCUUGGACAAACAACACCCAUUGAGCUCUAUACGUACGUUCGUAACGGUCUGCUCCGUGAAAUUCAGGCAUUGAAGGAAAUGCCACAAAAUCCCUACAUGUAUAAUCCGGCAGUUGUAGGUUGUAAUGGGAUGGGUAUGAAUACGGGUAAUCCCUAUAUGGGUAGCGUCGGCGCUCACCUUGCUGAUGUACGUAUGACCGAGGAUACUUAUGCUUUGCCGGCGCGCAUACAAAAAUUGGCAGUCGAUGUUGACAAUAUGCGUUUGGCCAUACAAGGUUUGCAAGGCGAACAAGAAGCUGUGGUAAAAUAUUUCAAUCAAACGCGUGCAAUGGUGACGCCACAAGAGUUGGAGGAGCUGGAUAAUCAGUAUAAGCAACAAUAUCUGAUUUUGUGCAAUCGCAAGAAUGGUGUAGUUGAUGAUUUACGACGCGUAAUCAGCGAAUAUGACACCAUACAAGAUCAAGUGAUAAUGGCACUGAAAAUGUGGCAACGAAAUCAGGCGCUCGCUGGAAAUGGUGCGCCAUUCCAUGAUAAUUUGGAUGAUAUACAACGCUGCGUAGAGAUGUUGGUCGAUAUGGUCUCCAAAAUUCACGCUUUUGUCAACAAUCUGAUCUUGAUGAGCAUGGGUGAGACUGAGGACCCGAUACUGGCUGAGAUGCUCAACCACGUACGUUCUGUACAAAGGUUACUGGUCUUGUCGGCGUUUAUUGUAGAGCGGCAGCCACCUCAAGUAAUGAAAACACAAACGAGAUUCGCUGCAGCUGUACGAUGGUUAAUUGGCCCACAACUUGGCGUAUAUACGAACACUCCAGUUAUUGAAUGCGUUAUACUUUCAGAGGCCCAAGCACAACGCCAUGCAGCAAAUAACAGUAAUUCUGAUAUGCAACCUGGUUCUCCACCCCAAUCGUCCGGCGAAAUCAUAAAUAACAUAAGCACAAUGGAAUAUCAGCAAGCCACACGCGUAUUUUCAGCAAGUUUUAGAAAUAUGCAAUUAAAGAAAAUUAAGCGCGCCGAAAAGAAAGGAACAGAAAGCGUAAUGGAUGAAAAAUUCUCCCUACUCUUCUACACAACAGUGGUUUUCAAUGAAUUCAAAAUAAGUUGCUGGACACUUUCCUUGCCCGUUGUUGUGAUUGUGCAUGGCAAUCAAGAGCCCCAGUCCUGGGCCACUAUCACUUGGGACAAUGCAUUUUCAGAUAUAACACGCGAACCUUUCCAAGUUCCAGAGAAAGUACGCUGGGCGCAGUUAUCAGCAGCGCUGAAUACCAAAUUUGGCUCGGCUACUGGAAGAAAUUUAACUGAAGACAAUUUAAAUUUCCUUUACGAGAAACUUUUCCGCAACGAAGCCGGCGAGCAUACUGAAUUCAUUACAUGGGCGCAAUUUUGUAAAGAGCCAUUGCCAGACCGAUCUUUUACAUUCUGGGAUUGGUUUUUUGCAAUAAUGAAAUUGACAAAGGAUCAUUUAUUAAAUCUUUGGAAAGAGGGUUUAAUUGUUGGUUUCAUAAAUAAACGCAAGACGUUGGAGGAAAUCCUGCCGAUGCAACAGUAUGGCACAUUUUUAUUGCGCUUUUCAGAUAGCGAACUAGGUGGUAUAACUGUGGCUUUUGUCGACGAUCAGGGCAACAAGCUGAUGCUGGCGCCGUGGACCUCAAGAGACUUGAAUAUACGCUGUUUGGCGGAUCGCAUACACGACUUGAACGUGCUGCGUAUUGUUUAUCCGAAGAAUUUGCCACGCGAUGAGGCAUUCGGCAGCUUUUACUCACAUCAUGUUGAUGAACAAAAAACAACGCGAGAUGGAUAUGUAGCAAGUGAUAUAAGGGUUAAUGUACCGGCCAUAGAGGGUGGCUCUGUAGUGGGUACGCCACAGCAUCAGCCGCAAGAUAUACCUAUGCCAAAUGACAAUUUUAUUUCUGAAUUUGAUUCAAUUUUAUAUUGAUGGAUGCGGAUAGACACACACGCGCGCAUGAAAAUAUACACUUAUAUACACCAUAAGAAACUGAGCCAGAAAAAGUACGCAUGGGAAAUAAAUUAUACUAAAAUAUGAACACACAUUUGAUUUUUAUGCCAUCAAAGAGCUAUGAAAAUUAUAAUUGGUUGGAAAAUGCAUUACUUCGUUUCAUAGUCAUGAGUUCACUAGCAGCAAGCAAGUAAUUACAUAUGUAUACAUAAGUAUAGUCAAAUAGCUAUUAGUAAUAACCCGCGCACACCACGCCCAUCACCACAAUCCAACCACACCAAAUAAGUGAGAUAUGCGCAUUAACAAUAUCCUUCGACGUCCAUUACUAGCCAAUACGGCCAAGCGACCAUUUCAAUCACCGACGAUGCUGAGCAUUUUCAGAUAUUGCUGAAUUUCUGGUUUUGCAUAUACGUAGUACGUGCAUGCUGGAAUUUAAGCGGAAUAAUGGAUUAAAAACCACAAAUCCUUCUGGGGACGUAAGGAUAUCCAAUUAUCAUUUCUUGUUACUACAUUAUGCGUCUACUUUCAUGUUGCAAGUCAAUGCUGAAAACACAUAACCUGCAUGCUGUGUCACCUUGAAAUUGUAAUAAGUUUGUAAUCUUAAAAGUGUUUGCCUAGUUUUCUUCUACUACUCUUUCUUACAAACACCCUCGCAAACUUUUAUUCAUGUUUGUGGUUAAUAUGCGCAUAGUUUAAAAGUAAAUGUAAUAUUUUUACACUCGUCGUUGCCUUAUAUAUUUACACUAAAUUUUGUUUGUUUAUAUAUUUUUGAACUGUUUUUAAUAGUGAAAUGAACUAUUCGAUGUAUUGUACUAGUUUAUUAAUGAUACCUGUUGUGUUGUGGUAAACCAAACAAAACUGAAAUAUACAAAUUUAAUUUUUGUUUAAUGCAUGCGAAAAGGGCUUUAUAUUACGUAAAAAAAUAUGUAGACAUUACAUUUAAAUGUUUAAAUAAGUGAAGACUAAAAUAGGUUUAACGUAAGAGCAUAUAAAGUGAAAUUGUGAAGCAAAGAGAUAGAAAAUAAAUAUUAACGGCAAACCAGUCAACGAUAAAUGUUGAAUGUUUCAUGAUAAUUGUGAAUACGUAAUUUAAGUGUAAUUAAUUUAAGCAAUGAAAGUAUGAGUAUACUCACUUAAACGAAAUUUACUAGAGGGCGAAAUAUUCAAGUAUGGUUAUACAAACUUAUUUGAAAUUUAUUUAAAGUGUUUUUUGUUCUUACAAAAUUCUGCGUGGUUGUGCAAAUAAUAUGUGGUCAAAUAAAUAGAGCCAAGAUAAGAAUAAAUUGUGUGGUUCUUUUGAAAUUGAAUAAUCUUUUUUCAAUGCAGCUAAACUUAAACAAUUUUUUUUUAGUUUUUCGCAUAACAGAAAGUAUCACCUGGAACUGGGAGGUCGCCGCUCUAACACAUACCAUACCAGUUGAUGUACUAGCAGGUUUGCUAGAAUGUUUGGCUUUUCACUGCAGCCCAAUUACUGGAAAUUUAUAACAGCAAGGAAUCAAUAUCGACGUCAUAUACUCAACCCCCUCUAAAAAUGUACAAAUUUUACAAAAACUAGUUCCUGACAUAAGCAUCUAUUUUAGGCCUAUCCUUAUGGUUUAAAAUAAUACCAAAGUUGAAGUCGCAGAUGUAUUCAAAUAUCAGAAACAAUUUUUUGUGAGAACUGCAGAUUGAGGGUAUUGAUUAUAAGCCCUCUCUUGGCAAGAGAAACACAUGAGAAAAUCAAAAAAUUUAGGCUCUAUUGAUUGUCCACAUGUGUAUAUGUACUAUACGUACAUAUACAUACUAUUAUUUUCCUUUUACAUUGGAUUUUUUUUCUAGUAUUAUUUACCGGGCAAGUUCGCUAUAUGGUUUUGAGUUUCUGUAGCUAAAAUUUGAAAAAGGUAAUUCACAUUUUUUAAGUGCAGUAUUUUAUUUUUUCAAAAUCUAUUUUUUUUUUUAUGAAAUUCGUAUAUGCCUUUGAUUCGCUUCAAGCUAUAUUAUACUUAAAUUUUUGUGGCAUUCUUCGUGCAUCUCCUUCCCUUUUCAUCAAAUACAAUACUUACUUACAUAUAUUAUAAGCAAACAAAUUUGACAUACUUUUCUUAUGGUAUGUAAGUCUUCGGGGUUUUAAUAUGAAUUCUUAUACAUACAUUAAAAAAAGUGCAUCAAACUUAAUUUAAAUAAGUAUUUAAUAAUAUAAAUAAAAUUUUGAUUAUCAAUUUCUUUCAAAGAGCAGGCGGUGUAUAUUUAACAAAUGUAUAACUAUAUGUAAUUUGGAAAACGUUUAUUGAAGUUGACCGCUCGAACGUAACAUUGAUUUGUGAUUUUUCUUACAAAAUUUUUAGUAAUUGGCUUCCACUUUCGUUUUUCUAUAAUAGUUAUUUAGUAAUAAUUAAAAUAAAUGCAUAUUAAGUUUGUAAAAAGGAAUUAAGAAAUUGCAGUUUGUUGUUGGUUUGGCUUGUGUUGUAAAGAUAAAUAGUUUGUAAGAAGGGAAAUUAAAUACAUUAAAUGUAUUAAAACUCAUCCGAAUUCACGAUUCACAUAUGUAUGUGUGUAUGUAUGCAUAUGGAUGUCAAGUCAAAAGGUAUAUUUUUAGUGUUAGAAAAUAGUUGAAAAAUGAUAUACAUGCAUAAGUAAAUGUACGUUUAAUUUUACAAUAAGCAGCAUUAAUAUUCGCUUAUCUUUAAAUAUGCGGUUAUUUUCUUAAUUUCUAAUCAAAGUUUGUAAACAAUUUUUUGGACCGAGGGUAGUAGUUACUUGCAUAGGGUGCUAUAUUUCUUAAACAAAAAAAAAACUUGUAAAAACUUACUAAAAUAAGGGUAAUCACAAUAUUGUGCGAAAGGCCUGGCAUGCACAUAUUUCGGUGCGUUUGUAAAAUUUAUCUGCAAAGCAAUAUACAUUUUCAUUCUUGUGAAUGUGCAUGAAAUGAGAUUGUGAUUACCCGCAAUACGUACAUAUUUCACAGGGUUAGACCAAAUAAUCACUCGCAAUUUUUCGCAGCACCGCUACAACGCAAUUCUAUUUCUUUUGUAUUUAGGAUGCGAAUAUUAUUGAUGCUAAUUGUAUGCAUACUGAGAGUAUGCACUACUCUUCAAUUGAAAAAUCGCGCAUAGAAAUUUAAAUUUACAAAUUAAAUUUUACCAUACACACUAUGUAUAUUAUAUUCUACAUACAUAUGCAUAUAUAUAAUAAUAAAGCAAAAAUAAAUAUAUAAAUGAAAUUUAUAUGGAGCAUGUUAAAAUUGAAAACUUAUUUAAUUACACUCAAAUUAAAGUCUAGUUUUUAAGCCCACAUAAAAUGUUUACUUGUAUGAUGUUUAUGUGUUUAUAAUAUGUCUGCUAUAAACUGAAUGUUCACAUGUCAGCCAUAUUUACAACCUACUUUGUAUACCUACAUACAUAUGUAUACACAACUCUGAAGAACUACAUAAACUUUUUACUAAAAAAAGCAUAGUUUAAAUUGCGACGCACUGGAUUUGAAGGAGUCUGAUGUUACGACAGCGAAGAGUUCAAAACGUAAUACUACCAGCAGCCUCUUGAACCUAAUUCGUAUAAACUAAAAAAUCGUUGACUGUUCAGCGUAAGCAAUAAAUUUUACACACACACACACACACUUACAAAAUGUACUCGAUAGUACUCGAUCUUUUUUAACAGAAUUUCUAUAUUUCUAUGCAAAAUACCCAAUAUGGAUGUAUUUUUUUAAUCGGAUUUUAUUAGCCACAAACAUACAUACAUAUGUAUAUGCAUGUACUAUUCUCUUUAAUGUACUCGAGCCUUUAACGAUGCAUUCACAAUGCACAUACAUCAACGUUAAAUGUUAAUGAUAAUGAAAUUAAAAUAAAAAGUACAUCGAAGUAAAUUAUACUACAAUUUAUGGAAUAAUGAUGAAGAAAACAUCAUUGCACAAUUGCACACAUGUAGCAUCCUUUUGGUGGCGAAUUAAAUGUAUGUUAUGUAUUGCAAAUUUAUUUACAGCAACACUGAAAAUAAUAAAUGAGUAAAUAAAGCAAAUUUGUGAAACUUA